rnacentral:sRNA from 1 species
CAGUUGCUGACCCAGCCCAGCUCGGCUUUCUUGUCGGCACCAGGGGCACAGCACUCCGUCUGUAGGUAUGUCUGUCGGCUUCCCCUCCUGUGAGUCUUGCAGGUCACCUACCCUCCAGACCUUUAGGCCGAGGCCUGCCAGUCCCUGGACGGCUGCAGCGUGGGGUGGCAGGCAGUUUCCAGGGACAGAUGAAGGUAAUCAUGGAGAUACUGGAUACCGUCAUUGGUAAGGUAGUAGUAGAAAUGUCUCCAGAUGGGCCGGGCA